GACGAACGCUGGCGGCGUGCUUAACACAUGCAAGUCGAACGGAAAGGCCCUGCUUUUGUGGGGUGCUCGAGUGGCGAACGGGUGAGUAACACGUGAGUAACCUGCUCUUCACUUUGGGGUAACUUCAGGAAACUGGGGCUAAGACCGUAUAGGAUCUCCUGCUGCAUGGUGGGGGUUGGAACGUUUAGGCGGUUGGGGAUGGACUCGCGGCUAAUCGGCUUGUUGGUGGGGUAGUUGCUUACCAAGGCUUUGACGGGUAGCCGGCCUGAGAGGGUGACCGGCGACCAUGGGACUGAGGUACGCACCAGAGUCGAACGGGAGGCAGCAGUGGGGAAUAUUGCACAAUGGGAGGAAGCCGGAGGCAGCGACGCCGCGUGCGGGAUGACGGCCUUCGGGUUGUAAACAGCUGUCGCCUGUGACGAAGCGUGUGUGACGGUAAUGAGUAAAGAAGCACCGGCUAACUACGUG
rnacentral:rRNA from 1 species